rnacentral:rRNA from 1 species
GCUAAUACCGUAUGUGCCCUUCGGGGGAAAGAUUUAUCGGCAAAGGAUCGGCCCGCGUUGGAUUAGCUAGUUGGUGAGGUAAAGGCUCACCAAGGCGACGAUCCAUAGCUGGUCUGAGAGGAUGAUCAGCCACACUGGGACUGAGACACGGCCCAGACUCCUACGGGAGGCAGCAGUGGGGAAUAUUGGACAAUGGGCGCAAGCCUGAUCCAGCCAUGCCGCGUGAGUGAUGAAGGCCCUAGGGUUGUAAAGCUCUUUCACCGGUGAAGAUAAUGACGGUAACCGGAGAAGAAGCCCCGGCUAACUUCGUGCCAGCAC